UACGUAGGGUGCAAGCGUUAAUCGGAAUUACUGGGCGUAAAGCGUGCGCAGGCGGUUAUGUAAGACAGUUGUGAAAUCCCCGGGCUCAACCUGGGAAUGGCAUUCGGGACUGCAAGGCUGGAGUGCGGCAGAGGAGACUGGAAUUCCUGGUGUAGCAGUGAAAUGCGUAGAUAUCAGGAGGAAUACCGAUGGCGAAGGCAGGUCUCUGGGCUGACACUGACGCUCAUGCACGAAAGCGUGGGGAGCAAACAGG
rnacentral:rRNA from 1 species